rnacentral:rRNA from 1 species
GAACGCUGGCGGCGUGCUUAACACAUGCAAGUCGAACGAUGAUCCCAGCUUGCUGGGGGAUUAGUGGCGAACGGGUGAGUAACACGUGAGUAACCUGCCCUUAACUCUGGGAUAAGCCUGGGAAACUGGGUCUAAUACCGGAUAUGACUCCUCACCGCAUGGUGGGGGGUGGAAAGCUUUUUGUGGUUUUGGAUGGACUCGCGGCCUAUCAGCUUGUUGGUGAGGUAAUGGCUCACCAAGGCGACGACGGGUAGCCGGCCUGAGAGGGUGACCGGUCACACUGGGACUGAGACACGGCCCAGACUCCUACGGGAGGCAGCAGUGGGGAAUAUUGCACAAUGGGCGAAAGCCUGAUGCAGCGACGCCGCGUGAGGGAUGACGGCCUUCGGGUUGUAAACCUCUUUCAGUAGGGAAGAAGCGAAAGUGACGGUACCUGCAGAAGAAGCGCCGGCUAACUACGUGCCAGCAGCCGCGGUAAUACGUAGGGCGCAAGCGUUAUCCGGAAUUAUUGGGCGUAAAGAGCUCGUAGGCGGUUUGUCGCGUCUGCCGUGAAAGUCCGGGGCUCAACUCCGGAUCUGCGGUGGGUACGGGCAGACUAGAGUGAUGUAGGGGAGACUGGAAUUCCUGGUGUAGCGGUGAAAUGCGCAGAUAUCAGGAGGAACACCGAUGGCGAAGGCAGGUCUCUGGGCAUUAACUGACGCUGAGGAGCGAAAGCAUG